UACGUAGGGAGCAAGCGUUGUCCGGAAUCAUUGGGCGUAAAGCGCGCGUAGGCGGCCUCAUAAGUCUGUUGUGAAAGUCAAAGGCUCAACCUUUGAAAGCCGAUGGAUACUGUGAGGCUAGAGUCCGGAAGAGGCGAGUGGAAUUCCUGGUGUAGCGGUGGAAUGCGCAGAUAUCAGGAGGAACACCAAUGGCGAAGGCAGCUCGCUGGGACGUUACUGACGCUGAGACGCGAAAGCGUGGGGAGCAAACAGG
rnacentral:rRNA from 1 species